GCUUUCAUCGUUGCCUUUUCCCUUUCCGUUCAACCAUCAUCUAAAAAUCGUGAUUGUCACUGACCCUACUGAUGUGAUCGUCAUUAUUCGACGAACAAAACUUAACCAGCCAUUCUCCGCGAGAUUCUGUUGUUUGCCCUGGAGAUCCAAAAAAGCUUCGUUAGAAAUUUAAAACCCCAAUGUCAUAUUUACUAUUUUUAACCAUUUCUGGUGGUCGUGCCAUGCACUUCCUUAGCUGAAGUGACUGCCGUCCAAUCCUGAGCAAAACCCCUCAAUUAUUUUAUUAUGGAUCGUCACCGUUGGCCGGCAAAAGCCGUUCGAAGUUUCGUGAAACCCAAAUCAUCGGCCAUUGUUUUCUGUGAUUUUUGAUUGAAUCGAAAAUUGGAUAGCUUCACCGCCAUCGUCAUCGGGCUCCCCUAUUUCUUCUAACCAAAUCCCAACCGGGUUUGUCUCUCCACCACCGCUGGUUCGCCGACCGUUGCUUUGGAGAGAUCAAUCAUCAUCGUCGCCCCCGUCAUACGUACCGCCACGCUCCACCGCUGCGCAUGGACAUUGUUCUGUUGGGACUUUUGGUUAACUAAGUCAGCUCGCUCGAGUAAAAUUAUCUGAAUAUUAGGAGGCAUGGAAAUCAAAUGUAACAGUGAUUUUGGGGUUCAGUUGGUCAAUCGAUAUGUCACAGAAAUUGAG